GGAAUGUUUAAAUAAAUAUGAGUUGAUGUUCAUGGGCUGGAUAUGAGUUGAUGUUCAUGGGUUGAAUAUGGGUUAAUGUUUCUAUUCCCCAAUCUUCGUAUCGUCACCCAGCGUUCGUAAAUGUGUUAUCUUCACCUUCAAUUGCUUGAAGAUUUGGUGCGGCAUAUGAUUUACUUUUUAAGAUGAUGAAGUUGAUUUGUUGUUUGAUUUGUUGUAUUUUUAAGUUUUUGUUUUUCGUUGAAUUUCCAAUUCAACUUUUAUUUUUUAAUUUAAUUAAAAUAAUAAAUUAUUAUUAUUAUUCGCUCUCUUUUUAUCUUCUCCCUCUCACUGUCUAGCUUAGACCUCAGAUUCCUUUCUCCGCUUAAGCAAUCCAUUUCUUUCUCUUCAUUACAUUGCGUUCAAUCUGUUCGCAGAAAUUUGUUUCUGUUUCCUGCUGAGAAGAUAAUUGAUGGCCAUGGAUGCUUCAAAGGAUGCCUCGCCAAAGGAAUUGCCACUUGGGUUUGACGCAAGUACUGAGGAAGAGUAUGCUUCCCAGUCCAAGCUGCUUCAAGAGUUCACAAGUAUCCCCUGCAUUGACAACGCAUUGACUUUUAAGUCUAACAGCACAUUUGGCGCAGGAAUGGGCUCCCAGGCAAUGUUUUCAAUUAGCCAGGCAAAUCUUUUGGCUAACAAGAGGAGGAAAUACAUUCUAUCUGCGAGCAUUUCAAAAGAAAGUAGCAGUUCAGUUAACUUUCAGUGGGCCCCGUUUCCCAUUGAGAUGUCAGGGGUGUCUACGAUAGUUCCAUCGCCAUCAGGUUCAAAGCUUCUCGUAGUUAGGAAUCCUGAAAAUGAAUCUCCCACUCAUUUUGAAAUCUGGAGCCAAGGUCAGGUAGAAAAGGAAUUCCACAUCCCACAAUCUGUUCAUGGUUUAGUAUAUAUUGAUGGAUGGUGAGUUAUUAUGCGAAUCUAAUUUCUCCAUCUGUGACUUAAUUGAGUAUUUAGUUCUAGGCUGGUGUACUUUUCCUUUUUUAUAUACAUGUCUUUAAGUUGUAGAAGCCGUUCACUUUUAAGUUCUGUAAGUGUAACUGCUAACAGCAUCGGCAGUGGUUGUAGGAGUACUUGGUUAAUGUAUUUUCACAUGUAAUCUUUGGAAUGGAGCCGCUGAAAUGCUUUGCUAUCGUAUAGGUUUGAGGGAAUAUCUUGGAACUGUGAUGAAACUCUCAUUGCUUAUAUUGCUGAGGAACCAUCUGCCGCCAAGCCUACUUUCUGUGGUCUAGGCUACAGAAAAGGCAGUGCUACUACAGAUAAGGACAGUUGUAGCUGGAAAGGUCAAGGAGAAUGGGAGGAGGAUUGGGGAGAGACCUAUGCAGGAAAAAGGCAGCCUGCGCUUUUUGUCAUUAACACCAGCAGUGGAGAGGUACAACCUGUUAAAGGAAUUGCCAAGUCUUUGAGUGUUGGCCAAGUUGUGUGGGCUCCAUCAACUGAUGGCUCGAAUCAGUAUUUAGUUUUUGUGGGUUGGUCAUCAGAUCCUAGAAAGCUGGGCAUAAAAUACUGCAGCAAUAGGCCCUGUGCAUUGUAUGCAGUUCAAGCACCAUUUUAUAAAUCAGAGGCCAAUUAUUUUGAAUUCAAAGGUAGUCCUAUUGAAGGUUCACCUGUACUCAAACUAACUCAAAGUAUAAAUAGUGCCUUCUUUCCAUUGUUCAGGUAUGCCACUCAGAUGCUUGAUUUUGGGGCUUCACUAUAGAAUACAAAUAUGUAGCGUGUCAUAAGUUCAUAACCCACGCAUAGAGCUAGUUCAAGCGUUGAAAAAAUUUUCAGAAUAUCUGUAGCUACAGCAAAUAUAUUUUUCUUGGAAAAUUGAAUUUCUCCUCAAGUUACUGGAUUUUAUUUUUCUGGUUCCUAUUCACCCAUUUGUUUUAUUGCUUUCCUGUGUGUUUGUUUGCAAGAAGUUCAGACACUUUCAGCAUCAGAUUCACUUAAUAAAAUUUAUACUAUUUAACCAGAACCCUUCAAGCUGAUUACAUGGCUAUUAUGCUUAUGUUUUUUUCACAUCCAGUCCAGAUGGAAGGUUCCUUGUGUUUUUGUCUGCAAAAAGUUCUGUAGAUUCUGGGGCACAUUCAGCAACCAAUUCACUUCACAAAAUUGAUUGGCCAGUUAAUGAACAGUUGAGCUUGCCUGCAAAAGUUGUUGAUGUGAUUCCUGUUGUGCAGUGCUCAGAGGAUGGUUGUUUCCCUGGACUUUAUUGUUCAGAAUUCCUUAGGAAUCCAUGGCUUUCUGAUGGAUCCACUAUGAUUUUAUCUUCAGUGUGGGGCAGCAGUCAAGUUUUACUUUCUGUGAAUGUGUUAAGUGGGGAUGUAAAAUGCAUUAGUCCUACUGACUCAAAGUUUUCUUGGAAUCUUCAUGCUCUGGAUGGGGACAACAUUAUUGCUGUAUCUAGCAGUCCAGUUGAUUUGCCUGGGAUCAGGUAUGGUUGUCUUGUUGAGAAGGCAACUAGAAAUACUACAUGGAAUUGGUUAGAUAUAUCGAGCCCAAUAUUCAGAUGCUCUGAGAAGGUGAGAUCCUUGCUCUCUUCUCGGCAGUUUGAUAUACUGAAGAUCCCAGUCAAGGAUGUUUCCAGCUGCCUAACAAAAGGAGCUGGCAAACCUUUUGAAGCUAUAUUCGUGUUCAAUUCCAAGGAGAAUGGCGCUUGUGAUCCACUAAUAGUAUUGCUUCAUGGAGGGCCAAAUGACGUCUCAGUGUCAAGUUUCUCAACGUCUUCGGCAUUUCUCUCUUCAAUAGGUUACAGCUUGUUGAUUGUAAAUUACAGGAUUUGGCGAGGAAGCAUUACAAUCUCUUCUGGGGAAAGCUGGGUCCCAGGAUGUCAAUGAUGUACUUACAGCUAUAGAUCAUGUCAUUGACAGGGGUCUUGCUAGCCCCUCUAGCAUAGCUGUGCUUGGUAUUUCCCAUGGUGGCUUUCUCACCACACACUUAAUUGGCCAGGCACCUGAUAAGUUUGCAGCAGCAGCUGCGAGAAAUCCUGUUUGUAAUCUAGCAUCAAUGGUUGGUACAACAGAUAUUCCUGAUUGGUGCUAUGUGCAAGUAUAUGGGACCAAGGGGAAAAAUAAAUUUACAGAAGCAGCUUCAACUGAGGACCUGGCUCUCUUUCACAGCAAGUCUCCUAUAUCACAUGUUUCAAAGGUAAUCUGGGCCAGUUUUCUAAUAUACUGUUCAUAGCUGAUCCUGGGUCUUCUGAUGGAAGGACUAAGUUUAAAAUAAAAACGCACAGAGUAAUCUAAAUAAAAUGAACGGCAAAAGGCCUUAGCAAACUGGUAUGGCUGCAUUUCAACUGUGAAAAUGAUUUAUGUAAAUAUGGUUUUCAAUGCUGCUGGACCACUAGAGAGGCUAUUCUAGCUAGAUUUACAAUGAUGCUUGUGCAUCCUACUUGCUUGUGGGCAGUUGUUAUAAUUGGCAGCUAUGGAUAUGCAUCGAUGCCAUUAAUACAAGAGGUUGCAUGAAUGCUUCUAUGGCUAUGCCAUGAGGAGAGAAAAGUUGUACUUUUGGUACAUGACAUUGGAACAAAAUACUGUUAAGGAAAACAUAAAGGUCAAGAAUUUAUGAGGUUUUUUAGCAUUGAAAAUCAAAUUUCUUUGGUUAUUAACGUAUAAGACCUGUGCAUGCUAUGAAGACACUAUCGAACCUUGUUGUUUUGGCGAUUUGUGCAGGUCAAAGCACCGACAAUCUUUCUUUUAAGUGCUGAGGAUCUUCGUGUUCCGAUGUCUAAUGGCUUCCAAGUAAGAUACUUGCCUUCUUCAAGUAUGUAUGAUCUAUGGCAAACAAUUUAUUUUAGUUCUACAGUUGAUAACUGUUUUCAGACCUUGGAUAGUUAUUCCAGUUGGCACGGCUGAAAAUCAUAAACAUGGAUUAGUGAGAAUUUUGUGGAUGUAAUGUUGUCAUAAUAUGAUGACAUUUUGGGAAUGUGCAGUAUGCACGGUCAU
rnacentral:misc_RNA from 1 species